rnacentral:lncRNA from 1 species
UAGUCAGUCAGUUCGAGACGAACCUCAGCAGCUCAGAGUUUUACACGGACGGCAACGGAUGGAAGAACAUGCGCCGGAUAAGGACGCUGCACAAAUACAAACUACCAAUUCCUUCCAACUACUACCCCAUCACUUCGUGGAUCUACAUCAAGGACCGAACCCAAGGGCUGCAGAUGAUGGUUCUUCCGGACCGCGCACAGGGAGGCAGCAGCCUGCGCUCGGGCCAACUCGAAC